CCUACGGGAGGCAGCAGUGAGGAAUAUUGGUCAAUGGACGGAAGUCUGAACCAGCCACGCCGCGUGCAGGAAGACGGCCCUAUGAGUUGUAAACUGCUUUUGUAUAAGGGUAAACCUGAAUACGUGUAUGUAGCUGUAUGUACUGUACGAAUAAGGAUAGGCUAACUCCGUGCCAGCAGCCGCGGUAAUACGGAGGAUCCGAGCGUUAUCCGGAUUUAUUGGGUUUAAAGGGUGCGUAGGCGGAUUGUUAAGUUAGUUGUGAAAUGUCGGAGCUUAACUCGGGAACUGCCUCUAAUACGGUUGAUCUAGAGAGUAGAUGCGGUAGGCGGAAUGUAUGGUGUAGCGGUGAAAUGCUUAGAGAUCAUACAGAACACCGAUUGCGAAGGCAGCUUACCAAUCUGUAUCUGACGUUGAGGCACGAAAGCGUGGGGAGCAAACAGGAUUAGAUACCCCUGUAGUC
rnacentral:rRNA from 1 species